AUUCCAUGAUGGGGACAUUCUAGGAUGUAGUCUUGAAAGCGCUCCCAUGCUUCUGGAACAGAUUCAUCAUUUUCUUGCUGAAAUCUUGUAAUCUUCCCACGGAGAGC
rnacentral:snoRNA from 1 species